rnacentral:rRNA from 1 species
GACGAACGCUGGCGGCGUGCCUAAUACAUGCAAGUCGAGCGGACGUUUUUGAAGCUUGCUUCAAAAACGUUAGCGGCGGACGGGUGAGUAACACGUGGGCAACCUACCUUAUCGACUGGGAUAACUCCGGGAAACCGGGGCUAAUACCGGAUAACAUCUAGCACCUCCUGGUGCCGGACUAAAAGAGGGCUUCUUGCUCUCACGAUGAGAUGGGCCCGCGGCGCAUUAGCUAGUUGGAGAGGUAACGGCUCCCCAAGGCGACGAUGCGUAGCCGACCUGAGAGGGUGAUCGGCCACACUGGGACUGAGACACGGCCCAGACUCCUACGGGAGGCAGCAGUAGGGAAUCUUCCGCAAUGGACGAAAGUCAGACGGAGCAACGCCGCGUGAGUGAUGAAGGGUUUCGGCUCGUAAAGCUCUGUUAUGAGGGAAGAACACGUACCGUUCGAAUAGGGCGGUACCUUGACGGUACCUCAUCAGAAAGCCACGGCUAACUACGUGCCAGCAGCCGCCGUAA